rnacentral:rRNA from 1 species
UACGUAGGGUGCAAGCGUUAAUCGGAAUUACUGGGCGUAAAGCGCGCGCAGGCGGUUCUAUAAGACAGAUGUGAAAUCCCCGGGCUCAACCUGGGAACUGCAUUUGUGACUGUAGAGCUGGAGUACGGUAGAGGGGGAUGGAAUUCCGCGUGUAGCAGUGAAAUGCGUAGAUAUGCGGAGGAACACCGAUGGCGAAGGCAAUCCCCUGGACCUGUACUGACGCUCAUGCACGGAAGCGUGGGGAGCAAACAGG